GUCGAGCGAACAGAUGAGGAGCUUGCUCCUCUGACGUUAGCGGCGGACGGGUGAGUAACACGUGGAUAACCUACCUAUAAGACUGGGAUAACUACGGGAAACCGGAGCUAAUACCGGAUAAUAUAUUGAACCGCAUGGUUCAAUAGUGAAAGACGGUUUUGCUGUCACUUAUAGAUGGAUCCGCGCCGCAUUAGCUAGUUGGUAAGGUAACGGCUUACCAAGGCAACGAUGCGUAGCCGACCUGAGAGGGUGAUCGGCCACACUGGAACUGAGACACGGUCCAGACUCCUACGGGAGGCAGCAGUAGGGAAUCUUCCGCAAUGGGCGAAAGCCUGACGGAGCAACGCCGCGUGAGUGAUGAAGGUCUUCGGAUCGUAAAACUCUGUUAUUAGGGAAGAGCAAAUGUGUAAGUAACUAUGCACGUCUUGACGGUACCUAAUCAGAAAGCCACGGCUAACUACGUGCCAGCAGCCGCGGUAAUACGUAGGUGGCAAGCGUUAUCCGGAAUUAUUGGGCGUAAAGCGCGCGUAGGCGGUUUUUUAAGUCUGAUGUGAAAGCCCACGGCUCAACCGUGGAGGGUCAUUGGAAACUGGAAAACUUGAGUGCAGAAGAGGAAAGUGGAAUUCCAUGUGUAGCGGUGAAAUGCGCAGAGAUAUGGAGGAACACCAGUGGCGAAGGCGACUUUCUGGUCUGUAACUGACGCUGAUGUGCGAAAGCGUG
rnacentral:rRNA from 1 species